rnacentral:rRNA from 1 species
AGUUGUAGAAUCACUGGUGAAUAAGGGGUGGGCAAGUUCUGGUGUCAGCCGCCGCGGUAAAACCAGCACCUCGAGUGGUCAGGAGGUUUAUUGGGCCUAAAGCAUCCGUAGCCGGUUGCAUAAGUUUUCGGUUAAAUCUAUGCGCUUAACGUAUAGGCCGCCGAAAAUACUGUGCAGCUAGGGAGUGGGAGAGGUACACGGUACUCGAUAGGAAGGGGUAAAAUCCUUUGAUCUAUUGAUGACCACCUGUGGCGAAGGCGGUGUACCAGAACACGUUCGACGGUGAGGGAUGAAAGCUGGGGGAGCAAACCGGAUUAGAUACCCGGGUAGUCCCAGCUGUAAACGAUGCAGACUCGGUGAUGCAUUGGCUUGUGGCCAAUGCAGUGCCGCAGGGAAGCCGUUAAGUCUGCCGCCUGGGAAGUACGUACGCAAGUAUGAAACUUAAAGGAAUUGGCGGGGGAGCACCACAAGGGGUGAAGCCUGCGGUUCAAUUGGAGUCAACGCCAGAAAUCUUACCUGGGGAGACAGCAGAAUGAAGGUCAAGCUGAAGACUUUACCAGACACGCUGAGAGGUGGUGCAUGGCCGUCGCCAGCUCGUGCCGUGAGAUGUCCUGUUAAGUCAGGUAACGAGCGAGACCCCUGCGUCUAGUUGCUACCAUUACUCUCUGGAGCAGUGGAGCGAAUUAGACGGACCGCCACAGUUAAUGUGGAGGAAGGAAAGGGCCACGGCAGGUCAGUAUGCCCCGAAACCCUAGGGCUACACGCGGGCUGCAAUGGUAUUGACAUGUGUUCCGAAUCCGAAAGGAGGAGGCAAUCAUCAAACAUAUCUCAGUUAUGACUGAGGGC